rnacentral:tRNA from 1 species
UGCAUCGGCCGGGAAUCGAACCCGCGCAGCCCGCGUGGCAGGCGAGCAUUCUACCACUGAACCACCGAUGC